rnacentral:rRNA from 1 species
CCUACGGGUGGCAGCAGUGAGGAAUAUUGGUCAAUGGGCGCGAGCCUGAACCAGCCAAGUCGCGUGAAGGAUGACUGCCCUACGGGUUGUAAACUUCUUUUAUAAAGGAAUAAAGUCAGGCACGUGUGCCUUUUUGUAUGUACUUUAUGAAUAAGGAUCGGCUAACUCCGUGCCAGCAGCCGCGGUAAUACGGAGGAUCCGAGCGUUAUCCGGAUUUAUUGGGUUUAAAGGGAGCGUAGAUGGGUUGUUAAGUCAGUUGUGAAAGUUUGCGGCUCAACCGUAGAAUUGCAAUUGAUACUGGCAGUCUUGAGUAUAGUUGAGGUAGGCGGAAUUCGUGGUGUAGCGGUGAAAUGCUUAGAUAUCACGAAGAACUCCGAUUGCGAAGGCAGCUUACUAAACUACCACUGACGUUGAUGCGCGAAAGUGUGGGUAGCAAACAGGAUUAGAUACCCCAGUAGUC